GGGUGGUAAUGCCGGAUGCUCCAGUUGAUCGCAUGGUCUUCUGGGAAAGCCUUUGCGGCAUGGGAUGGGGUCGCGUCCUAUCAGCUUGAUGGCGGGGUAACGGCCCACCAUGGCUUCGACGGGUAGCCGGCCUGAGAGGGCGACCGGCCACAUUGGGACUGAGAUACGGCCCAGACUCCUACGGGAGGCAGCAGUGGGGAAUAUUGCACAAUGGGCGCAAGCCUGAUGCAGCGACGCCGCGUGAGGGAUGGAGGCCUUCGGGUUGUAAACCUCUUUUGUUAGGGAGCAAGGCAUUUUGUGUUGAGUGUACCUUUCGAAUAAGCACCGGCUAACUACGUGCCAGCAGCCGCGGUAAUACGUAGGGUGCAAGCGUUAUCCGGAAUUAUUGGGCGUAAAGGGCUCGUAGGCGGUUCGUCGCGUCCGGUGUGAAAGUCCAUCGCUUAACGGUGGAUCCGCGCCGGGUACGGGCGGGCUUGAGUGCGGUAGGGGAGACUGGAAUUCCCGGUGUAACGGUGGAAUGUGUAGAUAUCGGAAAGAACACCA
rnacentral:rRNA from 1 species